CACAAAGACAAUUCUGUGCUCCAUCUGUGAGCAGGGUGAGUGGGAAGCGGAGCCAGAGAGGGCGCUGAGCAGGAUAACGGAGGAGUAGGCAGCUGGGAGAGGAAGAGCAGAAAAUGCCUGCUUCUUCAGGCCGCCCUGGACUCAGUGAGGCAGGAGGCGUUCCUAAUUCCAUAACUCCCUUCUAACUUCUUCAAUUUCACGGAACCAGAUGCUCACCGUCGCAAGGUUUACAUCUCCCUGUAUGGCCCCAGAAGAUGGCUGGUUAGCCAGAGACAGGCAACAACCCCCCAUGGGAGCUGGACUCAGGCAGAAAAGCAAAAUCAACCCAACCAGUACAAGUCCAUCUUAAAGACCCUUAUUGCUUCCCUCAUAAAAGGCAGUAUCCCUUAAAACCAGAAGCUCGUGAAGGUUUAAAGCCAAUUAUUAAUGACUUAAAGGCUCAAGGCCUCUUAAUAGCCUGUAACAGCCCUUGCAAUACUCCCAUAUUUAGAGUACAAAAGCCAGAUGGAAGCUGGCACCUUGUACAAGACCUGCGAGCCAUUAAUGAGGCAGUUGUGCCCCGAUGUCCUUUAGUAGCUAAUCCCUAUGCCCUAUUAUCCAGGAUUCCUGAGGGAGCAGCAUGGUUCAUUGUGCUAGACCUAAAAGAUGCUUUCUUUUGUAUCCUUCUUGCACCUGAGUCCCAAAUUCUCUUUGCUUUUGAAGAUCCUAUAAAUCCCUCAGCCCAAUUAACCUGGACAGUCUUGCCCCAAGGAUUUAGAGAUAGCCCACAUCUAUUUAGGCAAAUCUUAACUAAAGACCCAGCUUCCUUUAAUUCAGGGGAAGCAGAAACCAUCCAAUAUGUGGAUAUACUGCUCUGUGCCAUCACUAAAGCAUAGCGUCAGGAAGGUACUCAGAAAUUACUAAACUUUCUAGCUGACUGUGGCUAUAAAGUCUCCCAAAAGCACAGAUCUGUGAGCAGCAAGUAAAAUAUUUGGGCCUUAACCUCUCUCAGGGAACCAGAGCCCUGGGAGAAGAGAGAAUAUAACCCAUUCUCUGCCACCCAUUACCCUCUACUAUCAGGCAACUGUGGGGACUUUUGUGCACCACUGGAUAUUGCAGAAUUCAGGUCUCCAGAUAUGGAGAGUUAGCCAAACCCCUCUACCAACUCCUUAAAGAAGCCCCAAAGGAAGGCACCAUAAAACUCCAGUGGGAACCUGAUGCCAUUAAAGCUUAUGAAGCUUUGAAGAAAGCCCUACUUCAGGCCCCGCCUUAAGCCUGCCCACCGGAAACCGGUUUAACCUGUUCGUUACUGAGGGAUCAGGAGUGGCACUGGGAGUACUGACUCAACCUCGAGGAGAAAUGCAGCAGCCCAUAGCCUAUCUAAGGAAAGAGCUGGACCCAGUAGCUACGGGCUGGCCACACUGUGUGAGGUCUGUGGCAGCCGUAGCCCUGCUAUACCUGAAGCCACAAAGCUGACCCUGGGGAAAGAUUUAAUAGUGCAGGCACCCCAUAACAUCACCAGCUUAUUGAACACCGGGGGGACCUGUAGCUGUCAGAUAGCAGGCUACUAAAAUAUCAGUCGCUCCUCCUUGAGGGCCCUGUCACCCAGCUUCGGACAUGCUCCACCCUGAAUCCAGCUACCUUUCUACCUGAAUCCAUGAGUAAAGGACCUGAGCAUGACUGCCAGCAGGUCCUUGCCCUAAACUAUUCUGCCAGAGAAGACCUAAAAGACAGCCCCGUAGGGAGCCCAGAGUUGUCCUCUUCACAGACGGCAGCUCCUUUACUGAACAAGGCCAGUGGAAAGCUGGCUAUGCAGUUGUCACUCUCUGGGAUACUACCGAGUGCCAACCAUUUCCACCAGGCACGAGUGCCCAGCUGGCAGAAUUAAUAGCCCUCACUCGGGCCAUUGAAAUAGGAAAAGGAAAAAGAGUCAAUAUAUAUAUAUAUACUGACUCGAUGUAUGCCUACCUAGUGCUGCAUGCCCAUGCAGCCAUAUGGAAAGAAAGAGACUUUAAAUUCUGAAGGUUCCCCUAUCAAAUACCAUAAUGAAAUUAACCAGCUAUUACAAGCUGUGCAUUUGCCUAAAGAAGUAGCAGUUUUCAGUGCAGAGGCCAGCAGAAAAGAAUAGAUGAAAUAACAGAAGGAAACAGGCGAGCUGAUACAAAAGCCAAAGAGGCAGCUCGAGAAACUUAUAAGGCACCUAUCCAAGCCCUCUCUUAUGGACAGGUGUGCCGGCUAAUAUUAUCCCCAGCUAAAGUAAAAAGGAGCUGCAAGAUGGCCUCUCCAAAGGCGGUUCUCUCCUUCCCUCUGGUUGGCUUCAGACAGAAGAUGAGGAAGUUUAUUUACCUCAGAGUACAGAAUGGAAAGUUCUUAAAACUUGACACCAGACUUUCCAUUUAGGUAUAGAAAAUACCUAUCAGAUGGCCAAAAGUAUUUUUUGCAGGCAGUAGUCUAUUAAAGAAAAUAGAGCAAAUCACUAAAGCCUGUGAGAUCUGUCAAAGAAAUGACCCACUAAAUAAAAAAGCCACUCAUCCUGGGUUACAGCGAGCAGGCAGAUACCCAGGAGAAGACUGGCAAAUAGAUUUCCAGAUAUUCCAAAGGCAAAAGGACUCCAGGAUCUCCUCGUGUGGAUAGAUACAUUCACAGGAUGGGUCGAGGCCUUC